CUAAUGUUCCCAACUGAUGGUUCAUUUUCCACAACUGAAAAAAGGAGCCAUGUAAUGUUAUUGCAAAAGCACAUUAAUUCAGUAUAUACAAUUUCUUUUUAGAACAUAAGUACAUGGGACAUGGAGAUAUUCGUCGUCUUGCGGAAAUGAGAACAAAAAACAGAAGGGAAAUCAGAAAAGGACACUGAAUUUGAUAUCUAUCAGCUCUUCUAAGUUGGGAUCAUGAUAUAGUCUCCCGCUGUAUAUUCACUAUAUCGGUCUUCCAAAGCAGAGAAAAACCAGAAAUCUCGAUUAAUCUUUCUCAUCACUUUGGACAAUUGGUACAUGAAGAGCUCAGCUACCGCUGAAGACAAUCUUGUGCAAUCCAAUAUCGAGCUCCGUCGAUACUCCAGAACCCACGUGCUAGGAUCUAAUUGGACAACUGAGGCACCCCAUUUCCUGUGAACCCACGAACUGUUGGCUUUAAUAGUUGAGUAUCCAAUCAUCCCAUUUGACCACUUUUGGACAGAAAUUAAAAACAAAGAAGACCAGAAUCACGAAUUUGAUUAAUAAAGAUGCUAUCUACUGAUUAUAUGUUGUCACUAACUGCUUGCAAUGAAACAAUUAAGCAAAGUCCAUAGCAACAAGUUCAGGGAUUUACCUCUGUAACUCUGCCUGAUAACACAGUAAAGGAACGUGUAGAAAACCCUAUUUUCAGCAGUCCAGCAGUCUGCAAAGGCCAGCCCCAUAUACUCACCUCCUCCAUUGCUGAUUUGUACAAUUCACACUGUGAAUUCAAUAGCAGGCCUUCCUGCAAUUCACCUUUAUUUAUUAGACUGUAAAUAAGCAAGAAAUGCCUAACAGGAUAUUAAAUUUAAGAAGCACAAUUACUUGGAAAAAGUUAAGAUUCUAGGUCUAAAGAACCUGAUUGAUUUUCCAUAUUGAGUUUAUAUGGCUGCAGUUUGAAACUUUUCCAUCCAUAACAAAACCCUUCAAUUCAUUCUGAAUGAAUCUUAGUCUCUCACGCAAAUCUUUCCCAACCUGAGAUCUCUUACCAAUGUUUCUUACUAUAUCGGGAGAUAAUAUAGGACUUAAAACCCCACAAGGUCCCCAGGAAAACCCUAUUUCCGCUACAAAAAGCAAGCUCAAUCCCAAAAGCAACCUUGAAAAAGAACUUAGAAAACCCCUGACUCUCUUUCUCUCCUCUUUCUUGUCACUCAAAUUCAAUCUUGCAAUUGACUUGAGGAGUGGAGACUCCAUUUUGGGACAAGAACUUGAUAGGGGUGUGGACAAAAUCGAAGGAUUGAAAUACACAGGAGUACCCCCAACGUUAGGACAUGAAGAAGAGAACUUAGUGAGAGAGGAUUUCUGGAUGCUAACAGGCAUGAGGUCAAGGGUGGCAUUGAUGCUCGCUAAGCAAAUGUCACAAUUGCAGUUGGUGUCUUUUCUGCAUCCAGGGUAAUAACAGCUAUCUCUCUCAUCCAUGGCGGCGGCGGUGGUGCUUGAUUUCACUGAGGAUGAUGCAGUUGCUUGGUAUGCUUUCAUGGCUGAUUUUUAUUUUGUGUUUGUGUGCAUCUGUGUUGUUCUGCCAUAC
rnacentral:misc_RNA from 1 species